UUACGGUCAAAUCACGUUGAAAACACCGGUUCUCGUUCGAUCACCGAAGUUAAGCAUCGUAGAGCCAGGUCAGUACUUAGAUGGGGGACCGCUUAGGGAACACCUGGG
rnacentral:rRNA from 1 species